AUGCCAGGGCAGUGGAGCAGGGAACAGGCCUGCAGGGCUGGGAGGGGGCAAGAGGUGGGGUGGUCUCACAAAUAGGACCAGAGAUUGAGCCAGGCCCUGGAGCCCGGGAGGGUUUAGGAAGCUGAGACAGGAAGACCUGUCCAUGUCUUUUAGAAAGAACCUUCUGGCUGCAUGAAGGGUAUGAACUGUUCAGGUCGGGAGGGGGCAGAGAGACCAGGGGUAGAGAUGGGGAACAGCGGGGACUAGGCUGGAGACAGAUGUAGGAGAACAGCAGGGCUGGGGGACUGGGUGGAUAGGGAUAACCAAGAUAGCUGUGGGGCCCGAAGGUGCUUGCAUGUACCCUGUUGGGGAAGGGGUAGUGCUGUACCCUCUCGACAGACCUCUCUGGGGUGCACAGCCUGGGGCACCCAAAAGGAGGUGGGGAAAGAUGGGCUGAGGCAUGGGAAGCAGGUCCUCAUUAGCCCAAUGGCCAGGCUGCGGCAUUCCUGCCAUCAAACCGGCACUGAGCUUCAGCCAGAGGAUUGUCAACGGGGAGAAUGCAGUGUUGGGCUCCUGGCCCUGGCAGGUGUCCCUGCAGGACAGCAGCGGCUUCCACUUCUGCG
rnacentral:lncRNA from 1 species